rnacentral:rRNA from 1 species
GCUGGUGUCUUAGCUUUACUUAAUAAACAUUAAUUUUUCCAUCUCGAACUUAAAUGUUAACAAAUAGAGGGGUAACGAUACUUAAGGGGUAGCCCUUUGGAAAAAUAACCUGAUGCCAGC